GACGAACGCUGGCGGCGUGCUUAACACAUGCAAGUCGAACGAUGAAGCCUAGCUUGCUAGGUGGAUUAGUGGCGAACGGGUGAGUAAUACGUGAGUAACCUACCUUUAACUCUGGGAUAAGCCCGGGAAACUGGGUCUAAUACCGGAUACGACCAAUCUCCGCAUGGGGUGUUGGUGGAAAGCGUUAUGUAGUGGUUAUAGAUGGGCUCACGGCCUAUCAGCUUGUUGGUGAGGUAACGGCUCACCAAGGCGACGACGGGUAGCCGGCCUGAGAGGGUGACCGGCCACACUGGGACUGAGACACGGCCCAGACUCCUACGGGAGGCAGCAGUGGGGAAUAUUGCACAAUGGGCGCAAGCCUGAUGCAGCGACGCCGCGUGAGGGAUGACGGCCUUCGGGUUGUAAACCUCUGUUAGCAGGGAAGAAGAGAGAUUGACGGUACCUGCAGAGAAAGCGCCGGCUAACUACGUGCCAGCAGCCGCGGUAAUACGUAGGGCGCGAGCGUUGUCCGGAAUUAUUGGGCGUAAAGAGCUUGUAGGCGGUUUGUCGCGUCUGCUGUGAAGGCCGGGGCUUAACUCCGUGUAUUGCAGUGGGUACGGGCAGACUAGAGUGCAGUAGGGGAGACUGGAAUUCCUGGUGUAGCGGUGGAAUGCGCAGAUAUCAGGAGGAACACCGAUGGCGAAGGCAGGUCUCUGGGCUGUAACUGACGCUGAGAAGCGAAAGCAUGGGGAGCGAACAGGAUUAGAUACCCUGGUAGUCCAUGCCGUAAACGUUGGGCACUAGGUGUGGGGAACAUUCCACGUUUUCCGCGCCGUAGCUAACGCAUUAAGUGCCCCGCCUGGGGAGUACGGCCGCAAGGCUAAAACUCAAAGAAAUUGACGGGGGCCCGCACAAGCGGCGGAGCAUGCGGAUUAAUUCGAUGCAACGCGAAGAACCUUACCAAGGCUUGACAUAUACUGGACCGCAUCAGAGAUGGUGUUUCCCUUCGGGGCUGGUAUACAGGUGGUGCAUGGUUGUCGUCAGCUCGUGUCGUGAGAUGUUGGGUUAAGUCCCGCAACGAGCGCAACCCUCGUUCUAUGUUGCCAGCACGUAAUGAUGGGGACUCAUAGGAGACUGCCGGGGUCAACUCGGAGGAAGGUGGGGAUGACGUCAAAUCAUCAUGCCCCUUAUGUCUUGGGCUUCACGCAUGCUACAAUGGCCGGUACAGAGGGUUGCGAUACUGUGAGGUGGAGCUAAUCCCUAAAAGCCGGUCUCAGUUCGGAUUGGGGUCUGCAACUCGACCCCAUGAAGUCGGAGUCGCUAGUAAUCGCAGAUCAGCAACGCUGCGGUGAAUACGUUCCCGGGCCU
rnacentral:rRNA from 1 species